rnacentral:tRNA from 1 species
GAGGGUAUAGCUCAGUGGUAGAGCGCGUGCUUAGCAUGCACCAGGUCCUGGGUUCAACCUCCAGUACCUCCA